rnacentral:rRNA from 1 species
UAAUACGGGGGAGCAAGCGUUGUUCGGAAUCACUGGGCGUAAAGGGACGUGUAGGCGGUCAGGUAAGUAAGACGUGAAAUGCCUCGGCUCACCCCGAGGAGCGGCGUCUUAUACUGCUUGGCUUGAGUAUGGGAGAGGAUGUGGGAAUUCCUGGUGUAGCGGUGAAAUGCGUAGAUAUCAGGAGGAACACCGGUGGCGAAGGCGCACAUCUGGCCCCAAUACUGACGCUGAGGCGCGAAAGCUAGGGGAGCAAACGGGAUUAGAUACCCCGGUAGUCCUAGCCGUAAACGGUGAUCACUAGGUGUUGGAGGCAUUGACCCCCUCCAGUGCCGCAGCUAACGCAUUAAGUGAUCCGCCUGGGGAGUACGGCCGCAAGGUUGAAACUCAAAGGAAUUGACGGGGGCCCGCACAAGCGGUGGAGCAUGUGGUUUAAUUCGACGCAACGCGAAGAACCUUACCCAGACUUGACAUGCAUUAGACUGGUGUGG